GACGAACGCUGGCGGCGUGCCUAAUACAUGCAAGUUGAGCGCUGAAGGUUGGUACUUGUACCAACUGGAUGAGCAGCGAACGGGUGAGUAACGCGUGGGGAAUCUGCCUUUGAGCGGGGGACAACAUUUGGAAACGAAUGCUAAUACCGCAUAAAAACUUUAAACACAAGUUUUAAGUUUGAAAGAUGCAAUUGCAUCACUCAAAGAUGAUCCCGCGUUGUAUUAGCUAGUUGGUGAGGUAAAGGCUCACCAAGGCGAUGAUACAUAGCCGACCGGAGAGGGUGAUCGGCCACACUGGGACGGAGACACGGCCCAAACUCCCACGGGAGGCAGCAGUAGGGAAUCUUCGGCAAUGGACGAAAGUCUGACCGCGCAACGCCGAGUGAGUGAAGAAGGUUUUCGGAUCGUAAAACUCUGUUGGUAGAGAAGAACGUUGGUGAGAGUGGAAAGCUCAUCAAGUGACGGUAACUACCCAGAAAGGGACGGCUAACUACGUG
rnacentral:rRNA from 1 species